CAGGGCGGGCGAGGCGGCGCCGGCUGCUGACCAGCCAACCGAGAGCGGCCCGGCCCGUCCCAUCCCGUCACGGACGCCUCUCACCCGCUUGCAUGUAUGCAGCGAACCGAGGUAAUAUUUAGAAAAGGAGGUGUGUCAGGGAGAGAAACAACUUCCCUUAAUUGCGUGCUCCAGCAACGCUUCAUAUAACUCUAAUGACCGUGAGUGUUUGGCUGGAGGCGGCAAUAAUCGCCCAGAGAGAGAGCUUCCCGCACUCGGUGGCAGCUAUGUUGUUUUGGGGCGUACAAAAACGUUGCUAGGGGGCAGCUGGAUGGAGACAUUUUGUGUGGAAAUGGAAUCAUGAAUUUAAUGUGUUGACCAUAACCCCUCAUCCCACUGCUGAUGUUGAUAGGUCCCUGCACAAAAUGUCUGCUUUUUCAAUACACCUUUGACCAGUCGUUUGAAACCACAUUAAAGUACUGGCAGGGACCGGAGAGGAGGUAAUUAUAUCACCUAGCUCACCCUGGGAUAAUUUGGGGUUAUUCACUAGUACAUUUAUCAAUUUAAGAAAUUGGUACAGGCAUUGAUCUGCAGCGGUAAAAUGCCAUUGGGCUGCUCUCCUAUAUUCUCAAUCACACUAGAUACUUUUCUGACUUUAUUCAACAUAGCUUCAUUUGACCAGCCAACAUAUUCAGAGAUUUACACAGUGGGGAAAAAUGGAACUGAUCCAUCCUUUUCAAAUGUAAUUAAAGUUCUUGUAAUACUGUAUUAUGGCACAGUGUGCUCAGCAAUGAGUGAGUAAACAUGACUGCCUAUUUACAAUACUUUGGGAAAUGGCCUGGUGGGGCUAUUAACAUGAGCUAAAGGUAUGAAUUUCUGUCUCAAACUCUGCCAGAGUUGCAGAUGGGAACUGCUACAUAAGUGGAGUUACAUAGGAAGAAUUGUCCACCACAAAGCUGGCACAUGAUCAAAACAAUGUUCUUUGUUUCUCUCGUUUCCUUUGUUUGCUUCCCCUAUCUGAUUCCUUUUUUCCCACUAUUUUAUAUUCAUAGACGGCCUCCAGUGGCUAUAUUAUGUGCAACUAUUUCCAAUGCUGAGUGCUAUUCCAGCAUUCAUAACUGCAAGUGAAUGCUACCUAUUACAUAUACAUACAACAGUUGGGGCUUUUCUCUCCCAUGAAGACUACUGUACUCCCCAAAUUGCGUGAGGUUACAUUCCGUGAGCUCAUGCGUAAGUCAGAUUUUACGUCAUUUGGAAUUGGCACCCCCGCCUGAAAUAAAUCGCUGAGAGUAUUAACUGUCUCAGCUGUGUCCAGGGCAUAUUCUGUGGUGCACAGAUUUCUGGGUAAGUAUCGCUGCCAUUGCCGGCUUGUUUCCGAUGUAAAUUUGAGUGAUCGUACAGUGUUGUGGAAAUUACAAACUGCCUUGAUUGCACUAAGGACUGACUACAGAAUUGGUUAUGCAAGUGUGAAUUUACGAAAGUUGCCUAUUGCAUAAGUUGGGGAGUGUCUGUACUGUUGCUUGAAUUGUUUGUGAAGCGUAUUGCUUGACAUGUUUGUGGUGUAGCACAGAAAUCCACUUGAAACCCCAGGUGGAGAUUCUCAAGUGAGCAAUUACAAAUGUCUGUGAAGCCAUGUGUCCCAAAUAUAAUGGUGCCCUGAAAUGGGGGGACUAUGCACUGUUGUAAUACACUGCUGUAAUUUCUACAUGGU